rnacentral:rRNA from 1 species
GACGAACGCUGGCGGCGUGCUUAACACAUGCAAGUCGAACGGAAAGGCCCUGCUUUUGUGGGGUGCUCGAGUGGCGAACGGGUGAGUAACACGUGAGUAACCUGCCCUUGACUUUGGGAUAACUUCAGGAAACUGGGGCUAAUACCGGAUAGGAGCUCCUGCUGCAUGGUGGGGGUUGGAAAGUUUCGGCGGUUGGGGAUGGACUCGCGGCUUAUCAGCUUGUUGGUGGGGUAGUGGCUUACCAAGGCUUUGACGGGUAGCCGACCUGGGAGGGUGACCGGCCACAUUGGGACUGGGGUACGGCCAAGACGCCUACGGGAGGCAGGAGUGGGGAAUAUUGCACAAUGGGCGGAAGCCUGAUGCAGCAACGCCGCGUGCGGGAUGACGGCCUUCGGGUUGUAAACCGCUUUCGCCUGUGACGAAGCGUGAGUGACGGUAAUGGGUAAAGAAGCACCGGCUACCUACGU